GAUCCUAGCUCAGGAUGAACGCUGGCGGCGUGCCUAACACAUGCAAGUCGAGCGAGAAGCUCAUCACAGAUGCUUCGGUUGAAGUGAUGAGUGGAAAGCGGCGGACGGGUGAGUAACGCGUAGGCAACCUGCCCUUUGCAGAGGGAUAGCCUCGGGAAACCGGGAUUAAAACCUCAUAACACCUCUUAAAGACAUCUUUGAGAGGUCAAAGAUUUAUCGGCAAAGGAUGGGCCUGCGU
rnacentral:rRNA from 1 species